rnacentral:rRNA from 1 species
CCUACGGGAGGCAGCAGUGAGGAAUAUUGGUCAAUGGGCGGGAGCCUGAACCAGCCAAGUCGCGUGAGGGAAGAAGGUACUGAGUAUUGUAAACCUCUUUUGCCAGGGGACAAAGGCGGCCACGGGUGGCCGUAAGAGGGUACCUGGAGAGAAAGCAUCGGCUAACUCCGUGCCAGCAGCCGCGGUAAUACGGAGGAGGCGAGCGUUAUCCGGAUUUAUUGGGUUAAAGGGGUGCGCAGGCGGCGUGUCAAGUCAGCGGGAAAAUGUCGGGGCCAAACCCCGGCCGGCCGUUGAAACUGGCGGGCUAGAGUUGUAGAGAGGUAUGCGGAAUUCGUGGUGUAGCGGUGAAAUGCAUAGAUAUCACGAAGAACACCGAUUGCGAAGGCAGCAUACUGGAUCCACACUGACGCUGAGGCACGAAAGCGUGGGUAUCGAACAGGAUUAGAUACCCGAGUAGUC